rnacentral:rRNA from 1 species
GCAAGUCGAACGGGAUGCAUUCUUCGGAAUGUUAUCUAGUGGCGGACGGGUGCGUAACACGUGGGAAUCUACCUUAUAGUGGGGGAUAACUUCUGGAAACGGGAGCUAAUACCCCAUACGCCCUUCGGGGGAAAGAUUUAUUGCUAUAAGAUGAGCCCGCGGUGGAUUAGAUAGUUGGUGAGGUAAGAGCUCACCAAGUCUACGAUCUAUAGCUGGUCUGAGAGGAUGACC